ensembl:lncRNA DLEU1 deleted in lymphocytic leukemia 1
GCACAUGCGCAGAAUCAUCGUGGUGCACGGCUCUCCCUUUGCUUCUUCGGUUGCAGUCCUCUUGCUUCUUGCGCGUGCGUGUAGCGCUUUUGCAAAGCCGCGGAGGUGAAGUGAACUUAGAGGUUGUGGGGCCGAGGGGUCGUCUUAUAGCUACCAGCCCACAGGCAUUUAGUCUACGUUGGAGGUAAACAAAUACGGGUCCUGCUUAGGAGAAAAGAAAAACGUCUUACAGCCAGUGUCUAAACUCCAAACAACGGAAUGUAUCAAUGAGACCUUGUAUAUGGAUACACGUGCAUUUAAAACCGCCCUGCCGGCUUGUAGAGCUUUUGCCGUUCUCCAGCGCUUUACAGGGGUUAUCGCACUUAAGCCUCGGAACAACUUUACCAGAUGAGGACACCUGAGGUUCAGAUUAAGAAAUCUGCCCCAAAGUCUUAGAACUGUGGGUCGACUCUGGAACCGAGCUGCCUGGGUGAAUCCCAGCUCCACUACUUACUAGCUGUGCCUUGUUGGGUAAAUUAUCUGUUGGACCUUUUGUAAAACAAGUACUAUUAAUACCUCAUUGGACUGUUGUAAGGAUGUAAAUGAGCUAACAUAUUAAAGGA